rnacentral:lncRNA from 1 species
CAUUGUUUAACUUUUGGUUGUUCAAUAUUUAUGCAAUUUCAAGCUUGAUUUCAAUAUUGCUUUGUUGUUUAGAUCUACGUUGAUUCUUGAUUGCAAAGUAAUAAUAUGUUAGUUUGGAUAAUUUAAGUCCGUAAUUGCUUAGAUUAUCCUUACAUAAGAACACUUGGGAUAAAAUCCAAGGAAAUUGUAUGAUCUAGCGUUAUCUCCAUACGUUUGGG